ensembl:lncRNA
CGGGAGCAGCGGUUCUGCAGGGCAUUCUGGGAAAGCUCCCGGAAGGGUGGGCGGCUGGCCUCACGUGGACCACCCGCUGUCGGUCCUGAAAGGGGCCCCGAGGGCAGGGGAGCCGCGCUGUGACCGCGGGGCAGGCCUCACCGAGGACGCCGAGGGAGGUGGAGGAGGAGGCCGGGCUCGCGGGCGUGUGAGAGCUGCCGGACGCCUCGAGGAGGCUGCAGAAACCACCCCAUGAUGGCAUCUCCUAGGGUGAGGGCACGUUCUCCCCAGACUCUGAUGACCCGAGCAGCCCUGUCACUGCAAGACCUGGCGUCGCAUGUGACCAUGAGGGCUGCAGUGUCAGCAUGGUGGGUCCAGGCACUGCCUGCCAUCCUCUGGCAGAAGAGUGGGAGCUCAGCAGCCCCUCCCAUGGAAUCCUCGCUGUCUCCCAGUGUCUACACCACCCUGAACACGCGCAGUGACGCAGAAGGUCUUCUUGGGUCUUCCUCCAUCGGCAGCCCUGCUCCUUUUCUCGGAUCUUACGGACGCCCUUCUUCACCCGAGUCAGCAUCUCCCCUCAGCUGCGUCCAGCGCCACAGAAAGUGUGUUGCCCACAUCCUUGACUCUCCACGUCUGGUCGCCUGGAUGUGGACCCACCCUCCUGCUGCCGCUGAGACAUGGCUUCCAGAACCCUGCAGGGAGAGCCCGCGCUGCAGCCGCUCCCAAGUCCGUCCUGGCCGCUGUUUACCUGGAAUCAUCCCGUGGGUCCCGCCAAGCAGAUGUUAGAGAUCUUCUCCUGGAACCACAGGCCGGGCCCACAUGGCCGGCAGACGCCCACCCCACUCCCGAGAGGACCUUGUUUAACCAGGGUCCCCAUGCGCUGCGUCUGCAAGAAGCCUGCCCAACUGCGGACUUGGCGGCCAUCCCAAGAGGGCUGUCACUGAAACUGACCACAGUGGGCGAAGGGCUCUGGGGGAAGAUCUCAACAGUGGGACCGCUGGCCUCAAGGCAAAACUCAAGGCCAUCAGCUGUUUGGGUAAAAUGCAAUGAUGUCCAUGAAAUUGUCAUUAAACUCUUGCUUGCGUGAAUAAUUGAGCAUGAGAUCCACGUGCACUGACUUCCUGGGGCCUGCUCAGGAGGGAGGCUGGGGCGACCUGGGCUUCAGGUGCCGGGCUCUGAGGGAGUCCGCAAACGCCCAGGGACCGAGGGGCCAAAGCAGGUCUGCACACUUGCCAGGCCCAGGAGCUGCUCCUUUAUCUCUUCUCAGGGAAGGCAUUUUCUGCCCAUUUCCUGCUCUGCCUGGCCCAGCAGGAAGGGCGCGGUGAGAGGAGCAGAUGGGAGGAAGAGACAGAAAAGCAAGAGGCCUUGAGGGUUGGAGUUGAAGUCCCGCUAAACCCAAGGUACACGUCAUGAUUCUGCAGCUUGCUAGCUGUGUGACCUUUAGCAAUUCACUGUACCUCUCUGAGCUUCAAUUUCCUUAUCUGAAAAAUAAGGACCGUAACUCUCAUCUUUUCAGAAAUGUUGAUCAAUUUCUCCAGGUCCGUCCCUCCCUGCCCAGCCCACAGCCCUGAUAAGUUCUCUCCCCCCUCCCACCAUCACCACCAACCCUCAGCUUAUUAGCAGCAUUGAGGUGGACACCUGGUCCACACUGGACAAAUAUCAGAUUUUCCCUCCCAGGAGUCUCGGUUUGGAACAUGGAGACAGUCAUUAAGCUGUGGAAGCCAGCUGGAAGAGCACGUGGCUCAGGGAUGGAGGCCGCCAUUUUGGCAUGGCCUUGGUGGAUGGGAAGUGAGCAGAAAGCCGGCUACAGCAGGAGGGAAAAAGAUGGGUAGAGGGAGCUAGAGAUGAGUCAGACUGCAGAUCCAGUCAGAGACAGAGGCAGACACAGAGACAGGGAGGGGCCCUGUCAGGUGACCCAAGACCCAGGACAUUGGCUG